rnacentral:rRNA from 1 species
CUGCCCCGAAGAGGGGGAUAACCGCUGGAAACGGCGGCUAAUACCCCAUGUAGUCGUGAGGGUUAGAGGCCUCAUGAUUAAAGCUCCGGCGCUUUGGGAGGGGCCUGCGGCUUAUCAGCUAGUUGGUGGGGUAAUGGCUCACCAAGGCAAUGACGGGUAGCUGGUCUGAGAGGACGAUCAGCCACAUGGGCACUGAGACACGGGCCCGACUCCUACGGGAGGCAGCAGUGAGGGAUAUUGCGCAAUGGGCGAAAGCCUGACGCAGCAACGCCGCGUGGGCGAUGAAGGCCUUCGGGUUUGUAAAGCCCUUUUUCUGGGGGAAGAGGAAGGACGGUACCCCAGGAAUAAGUCCCGGCUAACUACGUGCCAGCAGCCGCGGUAAAACGUAGGGGACAAGUGUUAUCCGGAUUCACUGGGCGUAAAGCGCGUGCAGGUGGUGCUUUAAGUUGGGCGUGAAAUCUCCCGGCUUAACUGGGAGGAGUCGUUCAAUACUGGAGCACUUGAGGGCAGGAGAGGGAGGUGGAAUUCCCGGUGUAGUGGUGAAAUGCGUAGAUAUCGGGAGGAACACCAGUGGCGAAGGCGGCCUCCUGGCCUGCUUCUGACACUAAGACGCGAAAGCUAGGGGAGCAAACGGGAUUAGAUACCCCGGUAGUCCUAGCCGUAAACGAUGGAUACUAGGUGUGGGUGGCAUUGACCCCAUCCGUGCCGAAGCUAACGCGAUAAGUAUCCCGCCUGGGGACUACGG